CCUCCUCCAAUCCACCUCCCAACCCGCAGGCCCGCACGCCUCUCUCCCCCAUCGCUCCGCCCCGAAGCUCUCCCCAUCUCAACGCCCCAGCGCCGCCGCUGCGGUUCACCUCCCCUCCCCCCGCUCUCCGCCUUCGUCGCCCUUCCCCCGCUCGCUGCCGCCAUCGCCCUUAUCUCUCCCCCAACACUCGUCGCCCUCGCUCCCCACCCUCCUCCCCCCCAACUCGGGGUGUUGUCGCCUCCCCCCUGUAGUCGUCGCGGUCCCGGCCGCCGAUCUGCUUCCCCGGCCGCCAUCCUUGCUGCGCCGCAGCUCUACAUCCCCGGCGGAUCCGCGUCGGCCCGUCUGCCGAUCUGUGUCCACGGCUCCGCGCCUAUUGAGCCGGUCCGCCGCACAAUGGAGAAAUCUAGGCGUUUGGAUCCGCGGCGUCCGCGGAGGGAGCAUCGUCCGGCCGCCCUCCCAUCGACGACACUCAGGUCGACAUCCCCGCAGCGCAUGGAGCGUUGCCUGGCCGCCCACCCAUCCACGACGAGCGCAGGCCUGGAUUUCUACUCUAACCGAUGCAGUUAACCAUGUGGAGAUUGCGCAUGCCUAUGAGAAGAAUGGUGUGGCUUGCUUGAGCAUCCUGACUUGCGAGAAGCACUUCUAGGGGAGCUUUGAGAAUCUGGAGACCGUACACAACACUGGUGUGAAUGUAAGCUAAGGGAUCAAAUAUGCUCUACAAUGUUUACAAACUGACAGACAUCUAAUGACUGAGUGAUUGGAGCCGUCCUACGUGAUGCUGCUGGAAAUUUUUGCGGACGACAUGCACAAUGGCAUCCCCAUGGCCUGGAUGCGCUAACCAUGGAGGCUCUGGCAAUCAGGGACAGAAUGGCCUUGGCAAGAGAGGGGUGCAGCGACAACACCUUGAAACCGAUUGCCAUGAUUUUGUGAAGUUUUGUGAAGUUGCUGUUGGUAGUAUGAUAUUCUUCCGCUUGUUGUAUCCUCUGUUCCAAGUCACUUUGUAUUUAUCUAUGUUCAGAAGUACCAUGUUUCUAUCAUGCCUUGGUUAUUCUUUGUCUGAAAUUGGCAAAUAAGAUUUGCUUGAUCCUGUUUGAACGUGUUAUUCAUUUGUCUUCUGUUCAAUAUAAGUGCGUUUUCUUGAAA